rnacentral:rRNA from 1 species
AUAAGAUAUCAAGGGCAACAGGUGAAUGCCUUGGCGCUGAGAGGCGAUGAAAGACGCGGUAAGCUGCGAUAAGCAUCGGGGAGGAGCUAAACAUCCUAUGAUCCGGUGAUUUCUGAAUGGGGAAACCCGAUGGGAGUCAUGUCCCAUCAUCCUGGACUGAAUACAUAGGUUCAGAGAAGCCAACCCGGGGAAGUGAAACAUCUCAGUACCCGGAGGAAGAGAAAUCAAACGAGACUCCCAAAGUAGCGGCGAGCGAAAUGGGAAGAGCCCAAACCGGAUGGUUUCGACCAUUCGGGGUUGUAGGGCCGGCAUACGUGAUUCCAGAGUAGGCAGGGGAAGCGAGCUGGAAAGCUCCGCCAUAGCGGGUGACAGCCCCGUACACGAAACCGAAAAGGACGCAGCCGGUACCUGAGUACUGCGAGGCACGUGGAACCUCGUGGGAAUCUAGGGGGACCAUCCUCUAAGGCUAAGUACUCCUCAGCGACCGAUAGUGAACUAGUACCGUGAGGGAAAGGUGAAAAGAACCCCUGUUAGGGGAGUGAAAUAGAAUCUGAAACCUGUUGCCUACAAGCUGCGAGAGCUGCUUUUUGCAGUGAUCGCGUGCCUUUUGUAUAAUGAGUCAGCGAGUUACUCUACCGUGCGAGGUUAAGCGAAAGCGUAGCCGCAGUGAAAGCGAGGCUUAAUAGGCCGACGAGUACGUUGGAGUAGACCCGAAACCGGGUGAUCUAUCCAUGAGCAGGUUGAAGCAAGGGUAAAGCCUUGUGGAGGACCGAACCGUCAACGGCUGAAAACGUUCCGGAUGACUUGUGGAUAGGGGUGAAAGGUCAAUCAAACCCGGUGAUAGCUGGUUCUCCCCGAAAUAUAUUGAGGUAUAGCCUCGGGAAUUGAUUAGCGGAGGUAAAGCACUGACAGAGCUAGGGGUCCUACCAGAUUACCAAACUCUAUCAAACUCAGAAUGCCGCUUAAUUGUAUCCCGGGAGUCAGACGGCGGGUGCGAAGGUUCGUCGUCAAAAGGGAAACAGCCCAGACCAACAGCUAAGGUCUCCAAAUCCAUGCUCAGUGGUGAAGGUAGUGGAACCGUUCAGACAGCCAGGACGUUGGCUUAGAAGCAGCCAUCGUUUAAAGAAAGCGUAAUAGCUCACUGGUCUAAUGGCUCUGCGCCGAAAAUGUAACGGGGCUAAGCAUGGUACCGAAGCUUUGGCAACCUCCUUUGGAGGUUGGGUAGGGGAGCGUUCGCUACGGGCUGAAGGUGUGCCGGAAGGCAUGCUGGACUGUAGUGAAGUGAUUAUGCUGACAUGAGUAACGAUAAAAUAUGUGAAAAACAUAUUCGCCGAAAACCCGAGGUUUCCUGGGUAAAGGUAAUCUUCCCAGGGUUAGUCGGAUCCUAAGGUGAGGGUGAAAGCCGUAACUGAUGGAAAACAGGUUAAUAUUCCUGUACUUGUUGCGUAGCGCGAUGGAGGGACGCAGGAAGAUAGGCGGGCCGGGUGUUGGAUAUCCCGGUGCAAGCGUGUAGGAAUAUCCGGUAGGCAAAUCCGCCGGACGAAUCUGAGACGCGAGUCCGUGGGCGCAAGCCCUGAAGCCGUUGAGUCUAUGCUGCCUAGAAAAGCUCCUAAGUAUAUCCGCAGCAAUCCGUACCGCAAACCAACUCAGGUGGGUGGGAUGAAUAAUCCAAGGCGCUCGAGAGAACUCUGGCCAAGGAACUCGGCAAAAUAACCCCGUAACUUCGGAAGAAGGGGUGCUCUCUAGGGUGACAUGUUUAACAUAUGAAGCCCCGGAGAGCCGCAGUGAAUUGGUGGUGGCGACUGUUUACUAAAAACAUAGGUCUGUGCGAAGUCCUAAAGACGACGUAUACGGACUGACGCCUGCCCGGUGCUGGAAGGUUAAAAGGAGGAGUCAGCGCAAGCAAAGCUCCGAAUUGAAGCCCCAGUAAACGGCGGCCGUAACUAUAACGGUCCUAAGGUAGCGAAAUUCCUUGUCGGGUAAGUUCCGACCUGCACGAAUGG